rnacentral:lncRNA from 1 species
CGGGGAGGGGGUGCUCUCCGUGCAGUCCAGCCACAGCAGCCACCGAGGGACGCGGCGUCUCCACUCAGCUUUGGAGAAAGCCUUUCUCUUUGAUAGUGAUGAUGAUAGUUGCUCUGGUAGGGGAAAGGGACUUUUGAAUACCAGAGGGGUAAUUUGUGCUCACACUUAAGCGUGAACGAUAGGAAAACGUGCCUAACCACCAGAUCCACGGCAGCGAUCCCUUAAGUGGUGAUGAUAUUAUUAUUUUAUUAUUGCCAGCCAGUGGCUUUAAAGGUGCAUUAUUUUAAUGCAUUAUUAAUUGUUUUCCCAGGGAGAGAAGGAAACUGGGAAUAAGGCUUAUUAUUAUUAAUAGCGAGAUCACUCGCUCCUUUCGCACACGACGAGGAGAGCGGUGGGAGGAGGCAGCGCCGGAGGGAGGCGGCGGCGGAGCGCAUCCCGCUCCCGGGCUCGUUGCGUGGCCGCGGCAAGCACCCGCGGGGCCCGGUGCAGCCCUCCCGUUCCCUUCCUGUGCCCUCACCCUAUCCCUGUUGCCCCAGCCUCCGGGCGGAAAGUUCCGCGGACAGCUGCUAACACCGUACCUGCCCAGGGCAGCCCCUCGGCAUCUCCCCAGCCCCAGCCCCAGCUCCGCGCGGGCGGUGUGGCUCCGCGGGCGCCGAAGUUGCGGCAGGGCCGGGGGGCGGCCGUGGCUGCCAGCCAUCAAGUGGCUCGUUAAGGAAAUGCAGCUCCGUCGGGGCCUGUGUGGACUAGGGGCACAACCCGGCGCCUGACUGGUAGGAGGGAAAGCGGAGACUCCUUCAGGUUUCCAAAGAGGUCCGAGCGGACUGCAUUAGUAAGUAAAUGCUCCUUGCUCGGUUUCUGACCCUGUGUUCAUGGCAUAUACACACAGGCGCAUGCACACAUAGACAUGUAUGUGUAUAUAUGUAUGUAUUUGUGUGUGUGCUUUAUGCUCUUAAGUCACACUGUUCUG